GAGAAGGCUUACGACAAAGUCCCCAGGGAGGUGCUUUGGAGAUGCUUGGAGGUGAGUGAGGUACCGCUGGCAUAUAUCAGAGUAAUUAAGGAUAUGUAUAAUGGAGCGAAAACCCAGGUGAGGACGGCGGGAGGAGACUCGGAGCAUUUCACUGUCCUGACAGGAUUGCAUCAGGGAUCUACUCUUAGUCCCUUUUUAUUUGCGUUGGUGAUGGAUGUGUUGACGCGGCGUAUUCAAGGGGAGGUGCCGUGGUGUAUGCUUUUUGCAGAUGAUGUAGUUCUGAUAGAUGAGACUCGAGGGGGUGUGAAUGACAAAUUAGAGGUGUGGAGGCGAACUCUUGAGUCUAAAGGGUUCAGGGUGAGCAGAAGCAAGACAAAGUAUGUGGAAUGCAAGUUUAAUGACGUGAGGCGGGAGAAUGAGGUAGUAGUGAAGCUGGAAGCUUAGGAGGUAUGUAAGAGGGACAAGUUCAAGUAUCUUGGGUCCGUGAUCCAGAGAAACGGUGAGAUUGAUGAGAAUGUCUCGCACCGUAUUGGGGCGGGAUGGAUGAAGUGGAAACUCGCGUCGGGGGUGCUGUGUGAUAAGAAGGUGCCGCCCAAGCUUAAAGGCAAAUUCUACAGGGUGGUAGUCCGUCCGGCCUUGUUGUAUGGAGCGGAGUGUUGGCCAGUUAAGAACUCCCACAUCCAAAAAAUGAAGGUGGCAGAAAUGCGGAUGUUGCGCUGGAUGUGUGGACUGACUAGAGGGGAUAGAGUUCGGAAUGAGACUAUCCGGGAGAAGGUUGGUGUGACUUCAGUGGAGUGCAAGAUGCGGGAAGCACGAUUGAGAUGGUUCGGAUACGUGAAGAGGAGGAGCAUGGAUGCCCCGGUCCGUAGGUGUGAGAGGCUAGCGUUGGAUGGUUUUAGGCGGGGUAGGGGUAGGCCGAAGAAGUACUGGGGUGAGGUGGUUAGGCGGGACAUGGAACAGUUACAGCUCACCGAGGACAUGACCCUAGAUAGGAAGGUCUGGAGGACGCGAAUUACGACAGAGGAUUAAGGCCAGUUCGGGUCGCUAGUGUAGGGAAUUACUUGGUGGGGUUUUUAUUCUUGUCAUGAUUCCGUGUUCCGUGUUCCAUGUUGUAUUACGAAUCUGUGUGCUUUCCCCUGCUUUCCUCUGCUUUAUAUUACUUAUGGGUGUCGUAUUUAUGUUAUGUAAUCUGCUUCUGUGCUGCACUAUGUGUUUGUGUGGUAUCUCGUGCCUUGAGCCGGGGGUCUAUCGGAAACAGCCUUUCUACUUCAUCAGAGGUAGAGGUAUGGACUGCGUACAUCUUACCCCCCCAGACCCCACUAGGUGGGAAUACACUGGGUUUGUUGUUGUUGUUGUUGUUGUCUGUCUACUCUAUAUAGUGAGGUCUUUUUUCACCUGUUUGAUCUACCUUUAAAAGUUUAAAGAAGGAUUCUCUGUAUAACUUAAGUCCUAGUCGUUCCCAACCACUUCUUUGAAAUUAACAUUAUCUAUCAAGAAAUUCAAAAAUUUAAAAGGCUUUUGGACUCUACUAUUUUUAUUCUCUCAACAAAGUAAUAGGGGUUCAUGAUCUGAUCCAUCUCUAGGUAACCGCUCCACCUCCAAUGAGAGAAAAGCCCUUGAAAAUUAGAAUUAGAAAAGAUCCUAUCAUGUCUUUCAAAAAUGUACCCAUCUCCUACUCUACCAUUCCACCAUGUGAAAGGGCUAUCUUUGUGUUGGAUUUGCAUAACAUCACAGCCACCAACAAAAUUAUUAAAAUCUUUUGUAUCAGCGUCCGUCACAGGAAUUCCUCAUAUCUUAUCUUCCCUACUCAACAUUGCAUUAAAGUCUUCACCUAGAAUCCAUGGUCUUCUGGUUUCAUUAAAUAAAGAAAUGUAAUUAUCCCAUAAGUUCAACCUCAAAUUUAUAUCACACUUUGCAUAAAUAAUAGUUACUGAGAAGGAUAUAUCCGAAGACUGGUUGCACAAUAUUAGUGAUAAUUGCUGGUCAUUUUUGCUUACCAAGGUGGCAGAAAACCAUGAUUCACAAACAUCCAAAUUUUGCCAUUAUAGUUGUGAAACAUUAAAGGCAUUUGGAGUCUAUUUCUAUACUUGUUGAAAAGGUUCUAACAAUGCCAUAAAAGCAAAUUAAUGAAAUUUGUGCCGCAUCUGUACUGUAUGAAAAGCAUUUUGCGACUUAAUAGAUCUUAUGGUUGAAUUCUAACAGUUUGUGAAAGCUCUGUUUUUUCCUUACAUUUUCUGUUUUUAGCUAGUUUAACAUUCUUAAUAGCUCUUAGAGAUAAAUUAGCAUCAUGAAAAAUCUGAUCUUCUAACUACUCAGUGGUUUUCAUUAUUGUCCCUGAUUCCAGUAGACCACUAACUUCUACCUCCUCUUGGAAAUUGUGGGUUAGGAUACAAUGAAGCACAUCAUGGGUUUUCAACAUUUCUCCAAGUGUUGAUGCUUUGAUCAAUGACUAGAACUGUGUUGAACCUAGUGAAGCCUGUUCUUUCUACUGGUGAUGAUGCUUGUUUCUCUUUGCCUUCAGCAUUGAUCAACUUGGAUGUCCAGUCAUUGGUGGUUUUCUACUUAUCAGUCCUGUCCCCUUUAUCAUUAAUUUCCUGUGUAUCAAUAUGUUGUGUAAUAAAUUAUUAUUAACUUGUGUGUGAUCUUAUCCUUCCACCAUUAAUGUUUCAAAAGGGUUUAUAUUACAAACCCCUUUGUCAUGUGUGAUUGCUUUUUCACUCAGAUAACCUUAUUGAAGAACAUUCUCCUAAUAGGGUUCCAUUAGUGUCUCUGAUAAUGCCUUUGGUGCUUAUUUAUUGAUUCUUGUUUCUUUA